AGAUGCUGUCUUUUGCAGUCCUCCGAGAGCCUUCUCCGCUGGUGGUAUACUUACGAGGACCAGAGGUGAGGUGUCAGCAAGGAGGCCCACAGGUGGAAAGUGCUUUGGGCCAAUGGUACACACCUGCUUUAUUGGAUAGACGCAGAGAAGUAUGCCUGGUCACAGCCAGAGCUUACUCGGUCAAGAAAUUAUGAGCUCCCCAGAAGUCUCUUGUAUGCUGUCUCCUAGUUGUGAGCACCUUUUACCAAAGACGUUUCCUGCUUCCCCUUCACCUUCAGCCAUGAUUGUAAAUUUCCUGAGGCCUCCCAAGCCAUGCUUCCUGUACAGCCUGUGGAACUAUGGUCUGAGAGUACCUGUGCUGAAAUGGAAUUGUCUUUGAGUGGACACUUCUUAGAUGAGACCUAUUGUGGCCAAUAGCUCCUGAGGAACUGAAGCCUUCAGUUCAAAACUUGUGUGAGAAAAAUGAAUCUUGCCAACUACUGGAGUGAGCUUAGAAAUGAAUCCAUCCCCAGUUGACCCUUGAAUGUAGCCUUGUCAGAGACCCAGAGACAAAGCAUCCUGCUAAUCUGCACUGGGUUCUAGGCCCACAGAAACCAUGGGAUAAUAACUUUGUGUUGCUAUAAGCCACUGAAAACAAACAAAUAAAAUACUUAAGAUGUUCCCCUGUGGAAGGGUUCCAUUGCCAGGGAUCUGCACUUCACAACCAAAGGGAUUAAAGAGAAUUGCCUUCUUCAGAUUUCAGACUGUGGCCUGCUUCUGGUUUUUCUUUCUAUAUUCAUAUAUAUGUUUGUUUAAAUCAUCCUACUUUUGGAGCAGGAAAAGUUACUAUUACAGUUUAUACAAAGGGAAGAAAUCUGGUACAUGCUAAAGUUAUUCAUCUGUAACUACCUGACGAGCCCAAUUAGUUGCUUGCUCCUAUGGAUUCUGAGCCUAAAAUCCCUUCAACAGAUCUUUGACCUUUUCUAAGUUAAGUUUUUGGAAGUAUCCUAUUUGUUCACUUACUUGGGCCAGAGACUAUAGAGAUUAAGAGAAAGUUUGAUAUUUGACCCUAAUUUUAGGCUAAAACAAUUUAGAUGGAAAGAACAGACACAAUUCAAUUUAACCAUCUUCAACUGCUGUGCUUUAGAAAGCUGGGAGUGUGGAGAAUGGAGUAGGUGUACAGAAAAAUAAGAACAGUUCUGUUCUUCAGGGCUUGAUAAAGGCUGCUGUGAGUUGGAUGGACAAUAAUUACUACUGACUAGGUCUAGCUGGGAUAGUUAGGGGAGACUUUCUGAAAGAGGCAACACAUGAGCUGGGUUCUAAAUCUCAAAUAGGAUUUGAUGGCUGAAGAUGAGGGUAAUAAAACAAGAGAAACAAGUACAUUCCAGAUAGAAAGAAUAGUAUAAGCCAAGAAAAACCUAUUCCAGGGCAGCAGGGAAGAGUCUGAAGUGGCAAAACAAAGUAGGAGGCAAAGCUGUCAAUAUAAGUAACUUGGUAGAGAAACAUUAGGAGUUUGGAUUUUAUCCCAUUGACUAGGAGGAUUUAAAAACAGAAAAUGCUCACAGGGGCCAGGCAAGUUAUGAGUAAAUAAAAGGUCCAGGUGUAAGUGCAACAGGGCCCAUGGACAUAGGAAUGGGGGAUGUGAAAAACCAACCUUUGCUAACAGUGAGUUCUACUAUGCAGUUUUAGCUGAUUAUAGCCAGACUCGAAAGCAACCUUUGUAGGGUUGACAGUUCUUGUGAUUGUUCAAGAAAAAAAUUUAUGUAAAAUCUACUGACUUGAAAAUACUAGAUUAAUUUAUUUAAUGUUAUAGAGCUCAAAUAAAACACAUUUGUCUUAUUUAUA
rnacentral:lncRNA from 1 species